rnacentral:rRNA from 1 species
UACGUAGGGGGCGAGCGUUGUCCGGAUUUAUUGGGCGUAAAGAGCGUGUAGGCGGCCAGGUAGGUCUGCUGUGAAAACUCGAGGCUCAACCUCGAGACGUCGGCGGAAACCAUCUGGCUAGAGUCCGGAAGAGGAGAGUGGAAUUCCUGGUGUAGCGGUGAAAUGCGUAGAUAUCAGGAGGAACACCGGUGGCGAAGGCGGGUCCUCUGG